AACGAACGCUGGCGGCGCGCCUAAUACAUGCAAGUCGAACGAGAAGCUGUAGCAAUACAGUUGUACAGUGGCGAACGGGUGAGGAAUACAUGGGGUGACCUACCCUCGAGUGGGGAAUAACCAGCCGAAAGGUUGGCUAAUACCGCGUACGCUUCCCAGUCUACGGGUUGGGAAGGAAAGCGAUGCCGUGGGUAUCGCGCUCAAGGUUGGGCUCAUGUCCUAUCAGCNGUUUGGUGGGGUAACGGCUCACCAAGGCAACGACGGGUAGCUGGUCUGAGAGGACGAUCAGCCACACUGGCACUGCGACACGGGCCAGACUCCUACGGGAGGCAGCAGUAAGGAAUAUUGCGCAAUGGGCGAAAG
rnacentral:rRNA from 1 species